rnacentral:misc_RNA from 1 species
GAUGAAGAACGUAGCGAAAUGCGAUAAGUAGUGUGAAUUGCAGAAUUCAGUGAAUCAUCGAAUCUUUGAACGCACAUUGCGCCCUUUGGUAUUCCAAAGGGCAUGCCUGUUCGAGCGUCAUUUGUACCCUCAAGCUUUGCUUGGUGUUGGGCGUCUUGUCUCUAGCUUUGCUGGAGACUCGCCUUAAAGUAAUUGGCAGCCGGCCUACUGGUUUCGGAGCGCAGCACAAGUCGCACUCUCUAUCAGCAAAGGUCUAGCAUCCAUUAAGCCUUUUUUUCAACUUUUGACCUCGGAUCAGGUAGGGAUACCCGCUGAACUUAAGCAUAUCGAUAAGCGGAGGA